rnacentral:rRNA from 1 species
UGGGGAAUUUUGGACAAUGGGCGCAAGCCUGAUCCAGCCAUGCCGCGUGCAGGAAGAAGGCCUUCGGGUUGUAAACUGCUUUUGUCAGGGAAGAAAUCCUUUGGGUUAAUACCUCGAAGGGAUGACGGUACCUGAAGAAUAAGCACCGGCUAACUACGUGCCAGCAGCCGCGGUAAUACGUAGGGUGCGAGCGUUAAAUCGGAAUUACUGGGCGUAAAGCGUGCGCAGGCGGCUUUGCAAGACAGAUGUGAAAUCCCCGGGCUCAACCUGGGAACUGCAUUUGUGACUGCAAGGCUAGAGUGCGGCAGAGGGAGAAGGAAUUCCGCGUGUAGCAGUGAAAUGCGUAGAUAUGCGGAGGAACACCGAUGGCGAAGGCAAUCUCCUGGGCCUGCACUGACGCUCAUGCACGAAAGCGUGGGGAGCAAACNGGAUUNAUNCCCUGGUAGUCCACGCCCUAAANGAUGUCAACUGGUUGUUGGACGGCUUGCCGUUCAGUAACGAAGCUAACGCGUGAAAGUUGGACCCG